rnacentral:rRNA from 1 species
AACGAGGAAUUCCUAGUAAACGCAAGUCAUCAGCUUGCAUUGACUACGUCCCUGCCCUUUGUACACACCGCCCGUCGCUCCUACCGAUUGAGUGAAGAGGUGAACCCUCUGGACUGGCCUUCCACGGCUAGGAAGUUGAGUAAACCUCUUCACUUAGAGGAAGGAGAAGUCGUAACAAGGUUUCUGUAGGUGAACCUGCAGAAGGAUCAUUC